CCCGUUAUCCGGGUUGCGGACAGUGUCUGGUGGGUAGUUUGACUGGGGCGGUCUCCUCCUAAAGAGUAACGGAGGAGCACGAAGGUUGGCUAAUCCUGGUCGGACAUCAGGAGGUUAGUGCAAUGGCAUAAGCCAGCUUGACUGCGAGCGUGACGGCGCGAGCAGGUGCGAAAGCAGGUCAUAGUGAUCCGGUGGUUCUGAAUGGAAGGGCCAUCGCUCAACGGAUAAAAGGUACUCCGGGGAUAACAGGCUGAUACCGCCCAAGAGUUCAUAUCGACGGCGGUGUUUGGCACCUCGAUGUCGGCUCAUCACAUCCUGGGGCUGAAGUAGGUCCCAAGGGUAUGGCUGUUCGCCAUUUAAAGUGGUACGCGAGCUGGGUUUAGAACGUCGUGAGACAGUUCGGUCCCUAUCUGCCGUGGGCGCUGGAGAACUGAGGGGGGCUGCUCCUAGUACGAGAGGACCGGAGUGGACGCAUCACUGGUGUUCGGGUUGUCAUGCCAAUGGCACUGCCCGGUAGCUAAAUGCGGAAGAGAUAAGUGCUGAAAGCAUCUAAGCACGAAACUUGCCCCG
rnacentral:rRNA from 1 species